CAAUGAUUUCCCACUGGCACCCUCCCACAACACGUGGGAAUUAUGGAAGCUGCAAUUCAAGAUGAGAUUUGGGUGGAGACACAGCCAAACCAUAUCAUUGACUGACUUAAAUUCAACAGAACUGUGCUUUGGAGGACAUCGUUGCGCUGCUGACUUCUAACACUGAGGCUGGAGUGCAAUGACAUGAUGUUGGCUCACCGCAACCUCCGCCUCCCAGGUUCAAGUGAUUCUCCUGCCUCAGCCUCCCGAGUAGCUGGGAUUACGGAGAGAAGGGAGAUUGUGAAAGGUACAAGAGGCAGGGGAGCAGCCCACUGAGCUACCCCAGGAAUUUCCCUGACAAUCAGUUUUAAGGAGGACAUGCAGAAGUUGAAGAUGUGGAACACACAUCCCAUCUAAGGGGUGACAUCCUUCAGUUUGUGGACAGCUGGUCUAAUUCACUGGAGGAGGAACACAGCUCCCCUGGGGCCAUGCUCUGGCCACAGAACAGUGUGCAAGAGGUCAUUUAUGUUCAGGUGAUCCUGCCUUAUCCUGGAGAAAGAAAUGUUAUGCAAGAGGCCAAGAAGAAGCUAAACAAACAAGCCAUGAUGGAUUCCCAUCUCAGCUUAUUACCAUUGGGACAUGUCCUUUUUGUCCAAUCACAUUUCUACAUGGCAGUACAGUCUUCAUCAAACCUAAGCAUUAAAAAAAAAGUUUUCUCUGGGUCUUUGGGUCUUUUGUUUCGGAAGGCUCCUGUAUUACAUAAAACUUUGUUAAAUAAAUUUGUUAUACUUUUUUCUUGUGAAUCUGUCUUUCAUCAUAGGGGUGUUAGCUGGGGACCUUGCAAUGAGUGAGGACAGGCAUUACCGUUUCACCCCUACACUUGCUACAGACUAUGGUUAGGCUACCA
rnacentral:lncRNA from 1 species